UAUCCGGAGCAGGGUGGAACUGAGGAGCACUCUGAACUGCAAGUCCUUUAGAUGGUACCUGGAAAAGGUGUACCCAGAACUCAAAAUUCCCCUGGAAUUGGAUUCCCAGCCAGGAGUAAUCCGGCAAAGACAGGAUUGUGUGGAGACUCUGAAAACAGCCAAUCAGGAUUCAGUGACUGUCAGCCUCAAGCACUGUGUCCGAGCAAGCAAUCAGGAAUGGACAUAUACCCAUGAACAGCAGAUUAGUCAGAAGCAGCUCUGCCUCUCUGUGGCCAGCCUGUUCCCAGGGUCUCAGGUUAUUUUGACACCGUGCAGUGACCGAGAUGGCAAGCAGCGCUGGCAGAGGGCCAGCUCACGUAUCGAACACCAGGUGUCGCGUUACUGUUUAGACAGCGAGAUAUCAGGGGAUGAAGAAGACAGCCUGAAAAUCCUGGUGAUCAACCCCUGUGAGACAAGACUCCUCAGUCAGCGUUGGGAAAUGGUGUAGCUCCCAUGGGAACUGAGAAGCUGCAGUUGGUCCCCCACAAUCUUCAACCAUAAGUGGACAAAACUGG